AACUUUGGGCAGUGGCACUGUUGGUGCCAAUGAGGUUUACAUGAAGCACCAUUAUUGCUGGUUGAAAACUUUUCUGGUUAUAAAUUCAUAUGUAGAAUUUGUAAAAUUAAAUUAAAAGUUUCUGUAAUUGGUCCAGGUUU
ensembl:snRNA U4 U4 spliceosomal RNA